AAUGAAAGAGUACAGGGUGAAAAAAGGACAAGUUGUAAAGUUUUAAACGUGGAUUAGACAACAAUCAAGGACAGCUAGAUCUUAGACAAGGAAGUAGGUCAAAUCACAGGAAGCAAUGCGAAAGUUGUACAUCCAAACCGGAACGGAAUAAAGGCAAUGAUUUGGUCGAUAUUGGAGUAAGAGGGAGCAUACUCCAGAUUGGAACAACUCUAACGAAAAACAUGUUCAGUUUGUCGGAACGGUUAACUCUCCAACAUACCAACAUGUGCGUUGCAGCUCUCAUUUUUUCGUCCUACCUGUUAUUGGUUGACGAAGCAGCGAAAGUGGUCCAGGCUCCCCUAGACCAAGCGGCCCGAUUACGUUUGAUUCGAUGUUGAGGCAGCCGUGGCGAAAUGGUUCCACAACUUGAACUCAUACCCAAAGGCGACAAAGACGUAGUCUCCGUACGUUCACACACACGUGGACAUUGAGACAAGGACAGUACCUACCUACAACGUACUAGACAAGGCUAGACUUGUGAGGUCGCUACCGGGCUCGCUGAUUCUCUUUGAGUUGAUAGCGUGUACGCAAUCCAUCAAAUCGGUCGUCUAUCCGAGUGCAAUGGAUCCAUUGCGUUCAGGGAGACUGGAGGCAUGGAUCCAUCCAUAUCGAGGUGUCAUUCAGCCAGUCAGCCGUUCGCUCAAUUCGUUCGGUGAAACAGACCCAAUAAUGAACAAAUCACAGUCAUUUUUGUCCACCGCCAUAGUGGUUUUGACUCGUGGAUGGAUCGAGGAAGUAGAAUUACAACAAGAGAUUUAGUACGACGAGCAAUUUCUUUUCUUUGUUCCCAAGUUAUUUGACAGUUAGGACAUAUAUGGAAAAAUAUAUUUACGCCAUCGAACUA